rnacentral:sRNA from 1 species
GUAUUCCAACUUUCUGAAC